CCUGUUCGAGCGUCAUUACAACCCUCAAGCACUGCUUGGUAUUGGAUGUCACUGCUAUAGUGCGCCUCAAAGAUAUUGGCGGUAGCAUCUGACUUCUAGCGUAGUAAUUGUCUCGCUUUGGAGUUUAAGUGUCUAUUACCAGAACCCCUAAUUUAUCAAAGGUUGACCUCGGAUCAGGUAGGGAUACCCGCUGAACUUAA
rnacentral:misc_RNA from 1 species